rnacentral:rRNA from 1 species
AUUGAACGCUGGCGGCAGGCUUAACACAUGCAAGUCGAACGGUAACAUAAAGAAGCUUGCUUCUUUGAUGACGAGUGGCGGACGGGUGAGUAAUGCUUGGGAAUCUAGCUUAUGGAGGGGGAUAACUACGGGAAACUGUAGCUAAUACCGCGUAGAAUCGAGAGAUGAAAGUGUGGGACCUUCGGGCCACAUGCCAUAGGAUGAGCCCAAGUGGGAUUAGGUAGUUGGUGAGGUAAAGGCUCACCAAGCCGACGAUCUCUAGCUGGUCUGAGAGGAUGACCAGCCACACUGGGACUGAGACACGGCCCAGACUCCUACGGGAGGCAGCAGUGGGGAAUAUUGCGCAAUGGGGGCAACCCUGACGCAGCCAUGCCGCGUGAAUGAAGAAGGCCUUCGGGUUGUAAAGUUCUUUCGGUAGCGAGGAAGGCAUUUAGUUUAAUAGACUAGGUGAUUGACGUUAACUACAGAA